ACAGCCGGCGGCCAGAGCCUCAGUUAAUUGUUCCGCACGUUUCCUUCACUCUGGGCCAGACUCAGCUUCUCGAUACCACCAGCAAACCUGCGGCCGCAGGUUUCAUCAGGGCAAACCUGCGAUGCGGCGCAGCGGGUUGUGGAUCCGGCGUCAUCCGGGCGUCAUCCGGCAUCAUCCGGCAUCAUCCGGCAUCAUCCGGCAUCAUCCGGCGCGCCUGAUCGGAUGCGAUCACGGACUGCUGCUCGCCCACAGUCAAAGCGGAGGCUGAGCCUCUCUCGACUGCGGCUUCAGCCGGCUCAAGAGGACGAACAGGGGGAAGCUGACACAAUCGAGCUGCCACGGCGACGACAAGCGACGAUCGAGUCGCUCUGAACAAUCGCGACUUCUUGCCAGCGUUCCAACUAUCGACGUCUGCUUCCACGAGAUAAGAGGUCGGAAACCAACUUGGGGUUCUCCGCGCCGAUGUGCAUGCACGUACACAGAGCGGGUCUGACAAACUUCUGUUGCAGGUCCAGUGCGGCAAAUAAAGUAGAAAACAUCUAUACGUUUCUUCCAAGGCAGGAAUACGUGUCAGAAGUUGGAGUUGAAUAUUUUUAUUAUAAAUAAUAGAUAAAAUAUUUACGAUAUAACACUGAGCACAUUGCAUAUGUUUAAAUUAAGUGCUACAACCGCCGCGAAAUACGUCACCGUAGCAAAAUUAUUGCAUUUGAAUAAUUAAGGGUAGUGCCACGCAACCAAAAUAUGUGGUAGAUAAAGUUGGUAACCCAAUUGUUUAAAAGAAAUAACUUUCCAGCCAAUCACGAAAUGAAUCCGUGAAUAUUUCCGGUGUCUACUUUAAUAUACAGGACAUUUUUCAUAGUAAAAAAAAAAACAUUUUAAAAAAACUUAAUAAUUAUGCGGGGACUGCUGGGAUCAAUGAUCACAAUACUCGUUGAAACUCGUGAUCCCGUGUUUUGCGACGAGCUGGUAUCGGGUUCAAUUCCUCCCUCCUCCCCCCCCCCCCCCCCAAAACAGUGGAGCGAGUCCGAUGCGCGAGCAGAUAUGGCGGAGGAAGUCGUUGCAGCGCGGGCGAUGAAAGGGAAAUUCGCAACGAGAAAGCACGUGAAAGAGACGUGACAAGAGGAUUUUGAUGGGUUGGAGGGAGGAAGUGCUUGGGAUUGGGAACGUUGCAAGUCGCGCAUGCGUGUGCAGGAAGCCCCCCCUUCCCCCCCACACAGGACUCCCCCCCCCCCCUCCACGGACUCACACUCCCACGGGAAUCUCGCGCCGGGCCGCUCGCAGUGUUCACUUUCAGCUCAAACGGAAGGGACAGCAGUCGAAAGACGCCAUCUUUCCUUAUCGAUGAUUUUUAGACUGAAACAGUUUUCAAUCGUCUGAUUUUCUCAACUUAGCUUCCUUAUAGCGUAGUAUACAGAGUGUUCGCAAAUUGUGGGUCAUAAAUUUUAUAGUCGGCAAAAAAAAAAAUUAAAUGCACUCGCCAGAGAUAUGUAACAUCUAAUCUCUGUAACGAGCAAAUUCACGUGUUCUCGUGUACCAAAUACACUUAUAAUACGAAUAUCGGACACGAAAUUUAAUACAGAAUUCUUUUAAAUAAUGCCUAGAAUGAUAAAUAUAUACGAAAAUUGUGUUUUCCACUACAUUUCUCGACGCGAAUCACGUGUAGUUUUCGCACCCGCCGGUAGAAUUCGCUGAUCGAGCAUCUACUUCGACUAUCAAAUCAUUUAAUUUGCAGACCGAAAUUAACUAAGUAGGUAUAUAAUGAAACGACUAUGUUGUAGCAAGAAAGACUUCAAAAAUUCAUAAUUUUUCGUGUUACAAAUACUUAUAAUACGAAACUAGGACACGAAAUUUAACGAAGAAUAUAUACAUGUAUAUAUAUAUAUAUAGAGAGAGAGAGAGAGAGAGAGAGAGAGAGAGAGAGAGAGAAAGAGAGAGAGAGAGAAAGAGACUUUUUACGAGUCAGCAGCCAAUGGACAGGUUAUGUUUGCCUGAGUACUCAGAGGACUGUGGGAUCAAUCCUAAGAGGUCUAUGAACCUGUGAAUUUUUCGUGUUCCUGCAUAUGUAUGAUCAAGCCUUUAUUUAAAAUGCUCGUUGGUCGAUAACAAGAUCACGUCCUCCUAUGUCGAGUUACAGGUGAUUGGGAGAACCCCUUCUACUAGUUCAUAACUGGCGUCAAGGACGUGUGAAGAGCACUGUUGUCCGAUCAUCAGAGAACGGAAUAAAUUCACUGAUCCAUUCCAUGACCGGCUGGAAUCAAAAUAUUUUUUUACCUUCAUACUGUUUCUGUGACAGGGCCACAGUUUAUCCAAAGGACUGUUAACCGAUGAAAAUUCCUUUAACAAAAGAAGCAUCGUAGUCUACACGUCUCGCAAGUCAGCAGCCAGUGAAAAGGUGACGUUUUUCUCGAGUACGUAAAAGGUUGUGAAUUCUAUCCUUGAGGUCAUCGAAACCAGGAAUAUUUUUUCCGGUCCGUACCGAUUAUCACCGCGAAGCAGAUGCAAAUGUGUGUGCAUCGCUAUCCAACGAAUCCGGGUGAUAACCGCGGCUCUGCCCAAUCACGUGACCGGAUGGAAGCGACGCCGAUAAGACACAGCGUCCGGCUGGGAGACGAGCCAGCGAUAGCCGCAACUGACGCCAUCAUUGAAGGCGUUGGUCCGGGUGUGAGAGGGGAGAGGGGAACCCCCCCCCCCCCACAAAAGGCCGGAGUCUUCCUUCCGCCUGUCGAUGCAGCACGUCUAAUUAAUUAAUUAAUAACAACCGGGAGGUCGCUACCACGGCCUCCUCUGCUAUAGCGCGUCUCACGUAUUUUCCGCCAUUGGCGCUGUUCUUGUUUCGGUUUGCUCUGUUGCCAGAUUGUCGCAAACAACAAUCUUCGAAAAAAUUUUAAUGAAAUAAUUUUUAGCGCCCUGAUGUUCCAUUUGUGCUAAUUCGAAGACUUUUAAAACAACUUCGAAAAUCAUGCUUGCAACCUUUCCUACAAGCGCACAAAAUUUUAGCCUACUUAAAAAGAAAAUAGCCUGGUGAGCACAUGUUCCAGUUGACUAAGCGUUAUUAUGACAAGAAUAUUAGUAACUUCAUACUCUGCAGACUGAAAAAAACCAGAAAAGAAAAGCAAGGUUUUCAAAGUGUUAUUUUAACCGCGAAUGAAAUGAUUGACACACAGCGCGAAAUCCAGUGCUAAGUUUUCCUGCAGUUUUUGUUGCACCUAUGAAAAGUUUUUAUAUAGUUUAAGCAGUUACAUAACCCACCAUUUACACCUAAAUGCCCAAUUCGUGGAUAAAUAGCCCUCUCUCUGUGCCAAAUAUUCAGGGUUGAAAUCCCAGAGUAAUAAUGAUUUAGGAUCUUAACUCAGUGUGAGUCAUAGGCCUACAUAUACAGAAUAAUUCAGAAUACCACUGACAAACAUCGGCUGCAGAUACACUGUAAAAAAAAAAGUCUAAAACAAAAAUACGACUUAGGCCUAUGGUCUAAAGUGAUGUCCAAGGCUGGUGAAAGUCUUUGAAGUUGAAGUUGAACAACUUUUUUUUUUUUGCUGAUAGUAAAGUAUUUAUUAUGGGAACACUGCUCGGCUGAAUAAUGUUAGUUUGAUAUUAUUUCGACAUCCAACGCAAAACUUGUCGCUGACGUAAAUUAUUCUUUCUUUGAAAUAUUUUGGGAAUAGCAACACGUCAGAAAAACCUAUGUAAAAUAUUAGCUUUUGCCUCCAAUUAUUUCAAUGAAAUUAUAUUUCGGCAGCGACGAGUUUUGUUGUGGUUGUAAAACUUUUUUCAGUUGAAUAUUAGCCAGACUAUUAAUUACAAUAACAAAUAUGUUCAGCUCCAACUUCAAAGCCGUACAAAUACAUAGAGAAUCGCUUUAGAAAAUAUAUCAUUAUGUUUAACUUAUUUUUUCUUGAUAAGCCUACAACCAUUGAAUAUGUAUAUGUAUAUACAUAUUCAAUGCUACAACUGAGGUUUGCCGAUCUAAAUUUGACUUAAUCUAUAUGUUUAUAUUUUUACAAGGUGCUAUUUACUCUGAUGUGCUAAGCAAAAAAGAUAAAACGCAUAGGCCAUGUUAUUUUACUUCAAGUACGAAACACAUCAAACACUGAAAUAAAGUAGCCUGUAUAUGAGAAAUACUAUCAACAAUAUUUUUUUUCUUCAGAAAUACAACUAAAUAAAAACCCACACUUUUUUUAACAAAAAAAAACAGGUUUAGGGAAAUAUUUUAUAAAAUAGAAAAAACUGAACACUUUUGAAAAUAAUAUACUGCAUGAUAUAAUUUACUGGUUAAUUCUGAAAUCCAAAGAAUAGGAUUCAAGCUUUUAAUGCAAACAAUAGCCAAGCGUUGUAGAAAAUAAGGUCGUGAGAAAAAAAGAACGUAAUUAGUUCUGCAGUGAUACAGCCUUAAUUAACUUCACACACAUUAGUCUCUGGAGCAAAAAAAAAAACCUAUCUUCUCACGGAAAGGGGAAAGAUAAAAAUACAAGAGAAAGAAUAUUCACACGAUAAACCCAUCCUACCUUAGUUUUAGGGCCUUUAGGCCUUUGAUUAUUACUAAUGCAGUCCCCGAUUAAAAGUAUUAAUUUGACUGAUUCGCAAACUAAAUAGAAAUCCACGCAUCUCAAGGGUCAUGAAUAAAACUAAAACAAAUAACCUUGUGAAAUUAACUACAUUUUACUGCACACAGAUAUUAAGCAAUCAUCCCCUGAUAAUACACCCGAUAAUCAGCUGACGGUUUCAAUGAGACCAAAUUUGUCAAAGAAAAAGUUUUCUAUACUAUUCUUAGGAAUUAUAAUAAAUUCAAUUUUUUUUUAUUUUCAAAAACUAAUUUGUUUUUUCACUAUUUUUUUUUUAAAACAUCAUUUCUAACCCAUUUGCUCAAAUGUUUAUAUUAACGAACUACACCAAGAUUUUCCAUGUUUGUAUGUGAUGUAUCAGUCUGGGAGAAAUUUUUGCAAAAUUAUGGCGGCUAUCGUCUACAUGACUUAUAAUAUUUACGUAAUUACAUACACAUUAUCCAUUCUUUUGAGUUGCGAGGGGUUUUGGGGCCUAGGAAACACGAAACGAUAAACUAGGUAGUAACUUUCCGGACGUCGCAACGUGCUAACGCCUUCAAUAAAUAGCUGGUAUUCUUCGAAAUCUUCACUAAACGAGCAGGAAAAAUAAAACUGAACAGUUCUUUAACACGUUUUACAAGGAAGAAGUCACCUAACGUGCCAGCAUUUAUACUUAAAAAAUGAACACAGAUGCAUUCUAAACCAUAGUUUAUAGCCCCAAGGUGGUGUUUCAGAUUUUUGUUUCAUUUGUUUUGUCUAGGUUUCUGUUAAAAAAUACAUACGAGAUAAAUAAAAUUAAAAUUUCAUUUGCAUGCGAAUUUAAGAAGGUACUGGUCGCCACCAAUUUCAAUUCAUGAUUUCACAUUUUAAAAAAACUUCAAAUAUUUUAUUACAAGGAUUUGAUCGUAAGCAAUAAUUACAAAACAGACUCGAGGAUAAUUUUUUCAGGAAAGAAUAUUGAAAUUUUUUAAGAUAAAUUAACAAAACCAUCGUUGAAACCGAAGUUCCAAGCUGGCUUUAAAUUUUGUUUGAAAGAGUAAAUUUUUCAAAAUUUCCAGGGAAGGCCUCUAUAAAAGUAAAUAGCCCAGGGCCCGUCGAGUGAAGUGGCACUACUGCCGACAACCCAUCAGUUCAAUGCUUCAACUCUUAAGGAAGUUCACACGAGAAGCUAGCUGUACAAGCAAUAAGGCUUUUACUCCUAUUACUCAAAGUACGAGAGAGAGAGAGAGAGAGAGAGAGAGAGAGAAAGAAAGAGAAAAAAAUAACGCAUGUUAACAUUAACAAUCUCAAAGUAAGUGUUUGCACCAAUAAAGGCUGCAAGAUAUAAUUAUUUCUGACACUUCUAACCACAAUUUUCACUACAUCCCCACUGCUGCAAAUCGCGCCGUAGUCACACGAUGACACGGUGUACAGAACUUCAGAAAUAAAAUAAAAAAAUCACGCCAUUUUAAAACUGCCCAGGAUAUCCGAGUGGGAUUCUGUUUACGAAAAGCAGUUACGAAUAUGUGAUUGCGGAUGAGUAGUUGGUUCUGUUUAGUUUUAAAACUGUAAGUAUGUUUAAGAAGAGUGAAAAUUGCUGAAUCGCGUGUUUCAAGAUUACACCCGGUGUAGAUACUUGAAAACAUUCAAGGCCUUGCAUUACAAUUUUAUCUUUGUUUCACCGCCAUAUAUAAUGUUAUGGUAAGCACUCAAAUCUUAUAGUUUUCCUUCGCACGACGAGUCCUUAAUUACAAAACUGCGUUUACAAAGAACCAAUUAGAGAUACGGUGGCACGACAGUAGACCAAGACUUGUUCGACGGAAAGAGAGUAUACCGAAUGUCAAUAUGCCAAAAAUUAUUCAACAAUUUUUUUUUUUUUUUUACAUUUGUUGUUCAGCGCAGAAGUAUUUUUUUUUAUAGACACAUAGCUGCAAGCCAUCGAAAGAAGGAAUUAAGAGCAGUCACUGCCUUACUUGACACAGACUUGCUAAAGACAUGAAGUCUUCUUCCUCAGACUCAGGUUGGUAUUCCUGGCCGAUGCGACCUCGGAACAUCUCCAUUGACAUUGAGUGGCUUGUUCUGACGUCUUAAUCCUUUGAUUGCGCUCCAAGUGCCAAAGCUAUUAUCGUGAUUCCUGGGGGGGGGGGGGGGAAGAGAGAAUUGAUAAAGCGUCGUGAUAGGCCGUGUUCCGUUACUCGCACGAAGGCACCAGCCUGCCCACCUCCCGAUUCAUCGUUUCGUUAAAUCCACGCUUUUGAUUGAUUUCGUAAUAGCUACGAGAAGUUAUCUUGGACCACUACAAAGGACGCAAAUCUUAGGAUUCAUCGGAGGAUAAUACUUUAAAUGUUCCCUGGGUCCUUGAAAAACGUAGAUUCACGCAUCCAAUACAGAUGGCAGCACCGUGGUUGUUACACAUUCCCGUUCCUCGACUUCCGUCGCAUUAACAAAACUACUCCCACCAAAUGCCGUAUACCGGGAGCUAAGUUGUUACACAUCAAUAAUAAAAAAAAAAGUUGUCUUUUGACCAAAUUUUUGGGGUUGUUAUUACGUUUCACAGUUACGUUUAGAAAUGAGCAUGAAGUAUCCUCAUCCAGUGGCGGAUGCAGGGCUGAAGGGGGGAUGUGUGAACAACCUCCCGUGCCCCCCCCCCCCCCGAAGUUAUAAAAAAAAUUUGCAAAAUAUCAGUGAAGACAGUAUUUUACUGUCCGAGAACCAGUCCCUACAGCUACUACUACUGCACGCCCAUAUGUCAUUAUGGUAGUGUCAAUAGUAAAGUAACUUUUUUAAUACACGUGUUUAAAUUUUAAUUUUUCGUCUAUUUUUUUUAAGGGCCCCGCCACCGAAAUAAUUCCUGUUCGCCACUGACUGUCCUCGUAGUUAAUUUUGUGGAUCUGUCGUCUGUGGAGUGUGGGUGCUCGACAGAACAGCCAGUGGUAGGAAGAUUUUUUUUCUAACCUAACUAAAACUAAGUGUAUUUUGGAGGGGUCCGGGUUAGGGAGGGACCUAAGUGCGUCUCAGGCCGAAGCCUAUACGCCUAGUAAUGCUGGGAUUAGCCAUGCAGGGAGAGGGUCGCAUGCAUCAUGUGCUAGGAGGGGAUUGGCCAGCCAUGGCAGCGAUUGGCGCCAUGACUAACUCCCCUCACUCUUAAAUCUAGACUAUAACUAGAGAUAGGUUGGGCCCAGGUAAAACCUGCAUUGAGACAGGGAAAACCCUGGGCACAUUCAUGUGGGAUGCAAAUUGGCAUGCAUUACGUAUAGGAAUUUACAGGAGAUAGAGGAUGGUCUGGAUGAAGUGUUGGACAGAGUAGAAAAGAGUCUACCAUGCGGGGGUUGGGCACUUGGACUCGUGGUCCGCUUUGAAUUUUAUUUGUGUCUGGAAUAUUUGACCAGGGACGCAAGCGCCCCUGGUGGUGAGUGGUUACACUGACAACUCACUCCGCCCCAGUCAGCACGUUUUCGCUCCGUGACGUCACCUGCCGAGGCGGCGAUCAGCGAGCGACGUCACUGCCGGAAGAGCGCGGGAGAAGCACUUCCGACCGCGGCGUUGCCAGAUCGCCGCGCCACUAGCGUGCCCUUUCCGCGCAUCAUCUGUCAUUGACGUCUUGGGAAGGGGAGGGGGGGCACACGUUUGUAGUACACUUAUUUGAUGUCACUUGAAUUCACAUAAAAUAAUGUGUCUUUAAAAUACAGAAAUAUAUAUCUAUUUUUUUGCUA